rnacentral:rRNA from 2 species
GGUUAAGCGACUAAGCGUACACGGUGGAUGCCCUGGCAGUCAGAGGCGAUGAAGGACGUGCUAAUCUGCGAAAAGCGUCGGUAAGGUGAUAUGAACCGUUAUAACCGGCGAUGUCCGAAUGGGGAAACCCAGUGCAAUUCGUUGCACUAUCGUUAACUGAAUACAUAGGUUAACGAGGCGAACCGGGGGAACUGAAACAUCUAAGUACCCCGAGGAAAAGAAAUCAACCGAGAUUCCCCCAGUAGCGGCGAGCGAACGGGGAGCAGCCCAGAGUCUGAAUCAGCUUGUGUGUUAGUGGAACGGUCUGGAAAGUCCGACGGUACAGGGUGAUAGUCCCGUACACCAAAAUGCACAGGCUGUGAACUCGAAGAGUAGGGCGGGACACGUGGUAUCCUGUCUGAAUAUGGGGGGACCAUCCUCCAAGGCUAAAUACUCCUGACUGACCGAUAGUGAACCAGUACCGUGAGGGAAAGGCGAAAAGAACCCCGGCGAGGGGAGUGAAAAAGAACCUGAAACCGUGUACGUACAAGCAGUGGGAGC